rnacentral:rRNA from 1 species
GAUUAUGGCUCAGGACGAACGCUGGCGGCAUGCCUAACACAUGCAAGUCGAACGGAGUAAUGACUUCGGUUAUUACUUAGUGGCGAACGGGUGAGUAACACGUGAAUAAUCUGCCCUGUACGAUGGGAUAACAGCUGGAAACGGCUGCUAAUACCGUAUAUGACCACGCCGAGGCAUCUCGGAGGGGUGAAAGCGCUUAAGCGGUACAGGAUGAGUUCGCGUCCAAUUAGCUAGUUGGUGAGGUAACGGCCCACCAAGGCGACGAUUGGUAGCCGACCUGAGAGGGUGAUCGGCCACACUGGAACUGAGACACGGUCCAGACUCCUACGGGAGGCAGCAGUGGGGAAUAUUGGGCAAUGGAGGAAACUCUUACCCAAGCAAUGCCGCGUGAGUGAUGAAGGUCUUCGGAUUGUAAAGCUCUUUGAUUGGGGACGAAUAAAUGACGGUACCCAAGGAACAAGCCCCGGCUAACUAUGUGCCAGCCGCCGC